GCGUUAGAAUCUUCGAUCAACAAUAGUAACUAGAUUUCGGGUCGGUGCAUAAAAUCCGUCUCGUCAAAUAACAGCGCACUUGAAAUGUGAGCUCUUAUUUUGUUUAGUUCACUUCAAACACAGCCAAUGUCAACCCGUCUCACAAUACCGCAGUGUGUAUUCAAAAGUUGCAAAAAUAAGGCCCGAAAAAGCAAUUUAACGGCCGGAAUAUCUUACUUUCGCUUUCCUAGCAAUCACGUGUGCAGAAUGGAUCUCGAUUGUCGCCAGAGAAACAAGAGAUGACUUUUAUAAGCCAGCUAAUAUCUCCGUUUAUUGACACUGGACAUCUUUGCCUUCCGUGCUCAUGGCUACCGAAACGUGGCCGAAACAUUACAAUAAAAAUACCACGCUUGAAACCGUUUAAA